AUUGAACGCUGGCGGCAGGCCUAACACAUGCAAGUCGAACGAGUGGCGGACGGGUGAGUAAUGUCUGGGAAACUGCCUGAUGGAGGGGGAUAACUACUGGAAACGGUAGCUAAUACCGCAUACCAUCAGAUGUGCCAAGAGGGGAUUAGUGAGUUGGUGGGGUAACGGCUCACCAAGGCGCCGAUCCCCAGCUGGUCUGAGAGGAUGACCAGCCAAACGGGAACGUAGACACGGUCCAGACUCCUACGGGAGGCAUCAGUGGGGAAUAUUGCACAAUGGGCGCAAGCCUGAUGCAGCCAUGCCGCGUGUAUGAAGAAGGCCUUCGGGUUGUAAAGUACUUUCAGCGGGGAGGCGUUACCCGCAGAAGAAGCACCGGCUAACUCCGUGCCAGCAGCCGCGGUAAUUC
rnacentral:rRNA from 1 species